rnacentral:rRNA from 1 species
ACUGGACCUAGCGGCGGACGGGUGAGUAAUGCUUAGGAAUCUGCCUAUUAGUGGGGGACAACAUUCCGAAAGGAAUGCUAAUACCGCAUACGUCCUACGGGAGAAAGCAGGGGACCUUCGGGCCUUGCGCUAAUAGAUGAGCCUAAGUCGGAUUAGCUAGUUGGUGGGGUAAAGGCCUACCAAGGCGACGAUCUGUAGCGGGUCUGAGAGGAUGAUCCGCCACACUGGGACUGAGACACGGCCCAGACUCCUACGGGAGGCAGCAGUGGGGAAUAUUGGACAAUGGGGGGAACCCUGAUCCAGCCAUGCCGCGUGUGUGAAGAAGGCCUUAUGGUUGUAAAGCACUUUAAGCGAGGAGGAGGCUACUAGUAUUAAUACUACUGGAUAGUGGACGUUACUCGCAGAAUAAGCACCGGCUAACUCUGUGCCAGCAGCCGCGGUAAUACAGAGGGUGCGAGCGUUAAUCGGAUUUACUGGGCGUAAAGCGUGCGUAGGCGGCCAUUUAAGUCAAAUGUGAAAUCCCCGAGCUUAACUUGGGAAUUGCAUUCGAUACUGGAUGGCUAGAGUAUGGGAGAGGAUGGUAGAAUUCCAGGUGUAGCGGUGAAAUGCGUAGAGAUCUGGAGGAAUACCGAUGGCGAAGGCAGCCAUCUGGCCUAAUACUGACGCUGAGGUACGAAAGCAUGGGGAGCAAACAGGAUUAGAUACCCUGGUAGUCCAUGCCGUAAACGAUGUCUACUAGCCGUUGGGGCCUUUGAGGCUUUAGUGGCGCAGCUAACGCGAUAAGUAGACCGCCUGGGGAGUACGGUCGCAAGACUAAAACUCAAAUGAAUUGACGGGGGCCCGCACAAGCGGUGGAGCAUGUGGUUUAAUUCGAUGCAACGCGAAGAACCUUACCUGGCCUUGACAUACUAGAAACUUUCCAGAGAUGGAUUGGUGCCUUCGGGAAUCUAGAUACAGGUGCUGCAUGGCUGUCGUCAGCUCGUGUCCUGAGAUGUUGGGUUAAGUCCCGCAACGAGCGCAACCCUUUUCCUUACUUGCCAGCAUUUCGGAUGGGAACUUUAAGGAUACUGCCAGUGACGAACUGGAAGGAAGGCGG